rnacentral:rRNA from 1 species
CCGCGUGCGGGAUGAAGGCCUUCGGGUUGUAAACCGCUUUCAUCGGGGACGAAGCGAGAGUGACGGUACCUGGAGAAGAAGCGCCGGCUAACAGUGC